GACAGAGGGUGCAAACGUUGCUCGGAAUCACUGGGCGUAAAGGGCGUGUAGGCGGGUAGAUAAGUCGGGCGUGAAAUCCCUAGGCUCAACCUAGGAACUGCACUCGAAACUGUUUAUCUUGAGUGCCGGAGAGGAAAGCGGAAUUCCUGGUGUAGAGGUGAAAUUCGUAGAUAUCAGGAGGAACACCAGUGGCGAAGGCGGGUCGUCUGGGCCGAGUACUGACGCUG
rnacentral:rRNA from 1 species